CGCCCGGCGCUUCCGGCUGGAUCCCCAAUGGAUCCCCAGCUGAUCCCUCACGGAUCCCCAAUGGAUCCCCAAUUGAUCCCCAACUGAUCGCCACUGCAUUCCUGAUGGAUCCCUGAUGGAUCUCCACUACAUUCUUGCUGGAUCCCCACUGGAUCCCCGAUGGAUUCCCGCUGCUGCCUGCUGGAUGCCCACUCUGCUUCCCUGUGUGUCACCUCACACCGACCAUGACUACUGCAACCCUGAUGGUCCGGCAGCUCUGCCAAGCUCUGUUGAGAGAGCACAGUGGGAGAAGCAGGCUCUGCCUCUGGGAUCCAGAUCCACCUGCAGAUCAUGAGAAGGAACUCCAGCUGGUCAGCCACAAGGAGUAGCAGCAAACACCCAUGUCAGCUUAAGAAAGAGACAUUCCCUACAGCUGAAAAAGGCAGCAGAGAUCCCCAAAGUCAGUGACAGCAGCGCCUCAUCAGAGUCCCCCAGCAUGGAUUUGACCUGCAGAGAGCAGAUCUUUUCAGUGUCCAUCAGCUUUAAUGUUCCAAUUGACUCAUCUUCAAAGGCAAGACAUGAUCUAAGCCGAUUUGCAUAUGAACCUGCAUUUAUCCUCAGACUCUAAUACCAUGUUUCAGCAUUAAGACAUUUUAUUUAAUCUCAUGUCAUCAAUAGCUACAGUUGCUCUAGGAUUCUGAUUUUUCUCACAAGCAAUCCUGUUUUUCACUUAACAGCCUAGUGCUGUCAAAAAAAAAUAGUAUCUGCUCAACUAAUUCUUAUUUUUUAAUAAAGCAUUCUAAAACAUAAGUGAUGAUUGUGUAGUUAUAUAUAUAUGUACAUGUACAUAUAUAUAUACACCUAAGGAGUAAGUAAGGUCAUAUCACUUGAAUUUUUCUUAACUUAGCAAAAUACAUCAAAAAUACAUUGUUCAUAUAUUAUGUUGUCAUGUGUCUUGAUAAACCAUUUUUUUCAUUAGAAAUUAAUUCCACUCAAUGGCAGGAAGAUAAUUUUCAUAAACUGAUCACCUCAGUGAGUUAAUGGGGCUUAGCUGUCUUUAUGCAAUAACACUUGGAAAACUGAAUGUCAAACAGGAAUGUAUGCUUUUCCUGAGCCUUGUAUAAGCUUCUAAAACCAUGUGCAAUCCCACAUAACAAUGCCUGGUUUCCCUCUCUCUGGUGCCCGUUUCAAGCCCUCCCAGGGAAGCACCAUGCAAUUCCCAAAUCCCAAUUCCCAAAUUCAUGUGCAGAGCCCCUUGAGGGGGUGGACUCUGUAAGCAGAUCUCUUCACAGCAGCACUAAUCCCUUUCCAGCAAUAAAUUCCCCUUCUUUACUCCCAGUCCCCACAGGGCUGUGUCUGCACCAUUUAAAUGCAGUCAAAUUUUGGUCUCCAGCAAGGGUAAGGUCUAUGCUCAACCCCUCAUGUGAGGCAACUAAAGGGAAGGGAAAGGAAGAACAUGUACAGAAAGCCCUAAGUGGGUGGGACACAUUUUCACUUUGCUGUCAGUUCACAUUGUCAGAUACAAAGUGAUUUUGAAAGCAAUAGAAAAGCAGUGUAAUAACCGCGUCCUCAGUGUGGCUCCCAAAUCCAUUUCUGGCAGCUCCAUGGGUUCUGCACAUUGAUCAUUGCAGCCAAAGCUGCACUUAACUCAUGACUAAACACCAUCAGGAAACAGGGUGGUAAAUAAUGCAUUUCCCUGGGGCUUUUGACUGAACAUGUGAUCAUUUCAUACAUUUCAGAAACAGCCACCCACGCAGCAAACUGUCAGCUGCACUCUCCCUGCAUCACCUGGGGCUUAACUCAGCCCCAAAGAACCAGCAUCAGUCAGGGGAACCAGGACCUUGGUGCCACAGCAACAGCACAGUUUGAGCUUUCCCUGCUGUGCUCUGGGCACUGCUGGCUCCCAGUCCUUGUGUUUAUUUUCCAGGAGGUCCACAGGCAGAAACCACGGUCACUCUGCUGUGGCACUGCAAGCAACAUCAGCUACACAUGUUCAACAUAAAUAAGGCUGCCUCACCUUUUAAAGCACGCACCAACUCUCUUCAUGCACCUCUUCUAUCUCAGGGACAGUGUCUCUACAUAUUCUCAGAGAGAUUUUUAAAUUUUGACUUGAAUAUCAAGGCCCAAGACUGAAUUUUUAAUGAGAAUUUGCCAAGCCAGGUGCAUGUGCAUGUCAGCUGGUUCAUGCUGCCCAAACAGCCACAGGCAGCAGCUACAGGGGUGACAUCAUCUAUUCCUGGACAGCUCUCGUGGGAAUAUCCCCUCAUCCAGUCUCACACUUCAGAGCACAGAGGAGACAUAUCCAUUUUAAGGUGUGAUCAUUGGAAACUGGCUGGGAAAACUGACAUUCAUUUUAUUAGUAUUUGUUGUAUUUAUAAGAGAAAAAAAAGUAUUUUCCUUACCAGGACAGCAAAUGCAUCUGGAAUUUACAAAGCCACAUGUUUUCCUUCUUAAAACUUGGGCAUUUAAGCCAAAUAAUUCUGGUAGUAAAACAUGUUACAAUUGCUCCAUAGAUAUUUAUAUUAUAUUUCAAAA